rnacentral:lncRNA from 1 species
UACUGUGAUGACAGCAAAGGCUGGACCACAUUCCUGCCCCUUACUUGAUGUGUGAUGCUGAAAUCCUUUCUUACCCUCUGUCAGCUUGCCCUUAGUUAUCUGUAAAAGGAGACUUACUACGUCUUCCUUACAUAACUAGUCUAUGGUGUAAAUAAGAAAUCCUGUACAGCAUAUAUGUCACCUAGUAGGACAUCAACAAAUGCUUAUACUGACCCACUUUUCACCUCCCUCCUAGAGAAGUGAUGACUGUUACCUAAGCCAAACAGCACAAUUGCCAUAGAGUCUACCUGGAAACAUACCAAGCAGUAAGAAGUUAAACCUACUCACAUUUGCAUUAUGAAUGAAGCUUUGGGAACCAUUCCAGUGUUGCAGGAGGGCUUUGCUGAGGGAUCAGGGAAAAGGGAAGGAGAUAAUUAAAACAUUUCCUUUAAUCCCCUGUCAUUUUCUGCCCCCUUGUUUGAUCUUCUAGAUUGAUACUGGAAAAGCAGUUUCUAUUGAGCCCCCAAAUGAAGAGUGAGUGCAGAUGAAGAGGAGGCAGGACUCACAAGCCCUUGAACUUUAUUCCAGAUCUGUUAGCACCUACAGGACCCUGCACCAGGAUUUCAUCUGUACUAUCAGCUUCUUCAAAGAGAGAGAGGUUGUUGAAAUAUUUUCAGUCCAAGAUUGGUUGCAUUCAUGUAUGCAGAAUCCACAGAUACAAAAGGUCAACUGUACUUAUUUAUUUAAUUCUCACCACAACCUAUGAGAAGGAUCUAUUGUUGCCUGACUUUAGAAAAAAGGAAACUGAGGUACAGUGAAGACAGAGUUAGCAAGUGCCAAGGCUUAGAUGUGAACACAGGCUGUGUGGCUCCUGAGUAAAUUCAUCUAUCCAGUGUGUGCUGCUGCCUCUCAAAUGAUGAGAAAAAUCUUGCUUUUUCAGGCCGGGCACAGUGGCUCACGCCUGUAAUCCCAGUUACAGGGAUCACCUCGUGAUCUCAGUGAUAGAUAACACCAGGUAAGCAAAGUGUGGAGUUUGCCUAAUGGCUCCUGGACUGUUUGGUAUAUUAAUAUAUUACAGGAAAGCUGGGCACAGUGGCUCACGCCUGUAAUCCCAGCACAUUGGGAGGCCUAGGCGGGCGGAACACUUGAGGUCAGGAGUUUGAGACCAGCCUGCCAACAUGGCAAAACCCUGUCUCUACUGAAAAUAUAAAAAGUAGCCAGGCAUGGUGACGCACGCCUGUAAUCCCAGCUGCUUCUCAGGUGCUGAGGCAGGAGAAUUGCUUGAACCUGGGAGGCGGAGGUUGCAGUGAGCCAAGAUUGCACCACUGCACUCCAGCCUGGGCAACAGAGCAAUACUCCAUCUAAAAAAAAAGAAGAAGAAAAA